rnacentral:piRNA from 1 species
UAUGAUUGAUAAAUAUAACAC